UACGUAGGGGGCAAGCGUUGUCCGGAAUCAUUGGGCGUAAAGAGCGCGUAGGCGGUCCGGUAAGUCCGCUCUGAAAGUCCGGGGCUCAACCCCGGGAGGCGGGCGGAUACUGUCGGGCUAGAGUCCGGAAGAGGCGAGUGGAAUUCCUGGUGUAGCGGUGAAAUGCGCAGAUAUCAGGAAGAACACCGAUGGCGAAGGCAGCUCUCUGGGACGGUACUGACGCUGAGACGCGAAAGCGUGGGGAGCGAACAGG
rnacentral:rRNA from 1 species